rnacentral:rRNA from 1 species
GACGAACGCUGGCGGCGUGCUUAACACAUGCAAGUCGAACGGAAGGGCCCUGCUUUUGUGGGGUGCUCGAUUGGCGAACGGGUGAGUAACACGUGAGUAACCUGCCCUUGACUUUGGGAUAACUUCAGGAAACUGGGGCUAAUACCGGAUAGGAGCUCCUGCUGCAUGGUGGGGGUUGGAAAGUUUCGGCGGUUGGGGAUGGACUCGCGGCUUAUCAGCUUGUUGGUGGGGUAGUGGCUUACCAAGGCUUUGACGGGUAGCCGGCAUGAGAGGGUGACCGGCCACAUUGGGACUGAGAUACGGACCAGACUCCUACGGGAGGCAGCAGUGGGGAAUAUUGCACAAUGGGCGGAAGCCUGAGGCAGCAACGCCGCGUGCGGGAUGACGGCCUUCGGGUGGUAAACCGCUUUCGCCUGUGACGAAGCGUGAGUGACGGUAAUGGGUAAAGAAGCACCGGCUAACUACGUG